rfam:Lingula anatina scaffold202, whole genome shotgun sequence.
CCAUUUCUACCCUGUAGAUCCGAAUUUGUAUGAUAUUUGAAUACAAAUUCGGUCUAUAGGAUUUCAUGUG